AUUCACCCUUGGCUGCACCUGUCCGACGUGGCUGCGCGCCCCACCCGGUGACAUGGCACCCAACUCCUGUGGCUACCAUUGCCUCUACGGCGGCGGGUCGGCCUUUGUUUGUUUCAUUCAGGUGCGAUGGAUGCUGGAUUGCUGCGGGAGAGACGCCAAGGGGUCAAGGACACAGCAAAAGUCAAUGCCUAUCCGCCCAUAUAAUGUUUGGGAUGGGUCAAAAAGAAACACGGCAGGUGAGGUGAGAAAGACUACUGUCCCUCCCAAACUGGCCAUGGUAAAGCCGAAGUCCCUUUCUCUGUCUGCUCGACCCUACUACCUCUGUAUCUCAAUCCCAUCACACACUGGAGAAAAAAGAGGGCCAUAGUGUUCUUAAACUGCAAGCAACAACUUUCUAAAGAAUCUGAAGGACCAAAAUUGAGGCCCUCCUUAUAUUAUAUAUAGUAAAAAAGAUAGAGGAAGAUUAUACUCCAGUCAUUCUUUUCUAUUUAGAAUAGCCAUCUGAGCAAAAGGGCCCAAUGUUUUUGAUUGGGCAAGGAAGUGCAGCCCACGUAGGCCCACGACCGUAGCUAGUGGCUUGGGCCUUUUCUCAAAACCUAUACCGAUCAAGUUCCAUGUCAGUGUCUAAUAAUCUUUCCCUCCUGCUUCCUUGAUGCAGUAUAUAUAUAUAUACAUAUAAAAAGAAGGAUAUGAGUUUGGGAUUGCCUACAAUUCCUUAUACAGCACCAAAGUGCUAUGCCAGCUCAGAAAUUUGUUCAGAAGCUGCAUAAAAAAUGUUGAGGCAGAAGAGGCGCAUGCUCAAUGCAAUGCAAAUGGAUUUUUUCUAGAGUACAAUGCAAUGCAAAUGGAUAAGAUGAAAGGACGAAGAGGUGGAAAGAAAAGUGAGCACGUACCGGGCGUGAGGUGCGGCGCUCGCCUGCUCUAUUCACCUGCCUGUGCCUGUGCCUGUGCCUGUCACCACCACAUGGCUGAUGGCACACACCACAUAUACUCUGCUGGCCCUGCUCGCCCGCCCGUGACUUCGUGUUGUGUGAGGCCCGCUUGACCGGGUCGGGUGAGAAUGUGAAUGGUUCCCUUCCCUUCAGUUUUAGCUGCACUUGCACUGCAUUCGUUCAUUUCCUUCCUCCUUCAGGCCGUCUGCUACUGCAUUCACUGAAGAUUGGAAAAUCCAAUGGAUUGAAGGAGAUGGAUAGUCGCAUUCAUGUCAUGGAGCACACAGCAGCGGAGACGGGUCUAGUCCUGUAGCUACUUUUUCAGGGGCCCACUCCCACUGCCUCUGCCUGUAAGGAACAGUAGUGCACCACAGUCCACGGGAUGGGGAUGCCAUGGGGAGGACGAGGACCCGGAGUAGCCUUCCGGUUUUUUUUUUUACAAAAUGCAAGGAAAUUUAUUGCCCGCAGCAAGAAGCUACAAUAAUGGAUACAGAGUUAAGGUCUACUUGAAGUAGAGCCCUCUCUUUCUAUUCUUUAAGGCCUUGUUUAGGAAAUGAAAAGUUUUUUUUAUAGUAGUACUUUCAUUUUUAUUUAGUAAUUAUUAUUUAAUUAUGGACUAACUAGAUUUAAAAAAUUGGUUUCGUAAACAUCAGGAUAAAAUAUGUAAUUAGUGAUUUUUAUCUAUAUUUAAUGUGUCACAAGAUUCGAUGUAA